CUCUUUCUGCAUUAUCCUUUUAUAUCUCCAUUUUCUUUUUUCCCCACUUUCUUUUCAUAUUUUCCUCUUCUUAUCUUUAAUAUCUACAAUUCAAUGUUUCAUUCAUCGAAUUUACUUUGUCAUCAUCAAAAAACAUGUAAAGUCAUUUCUGUUAAACCUAAUAUGAUGAUUUUUGUAUCCUGCUACUCAAUCUUCAUCAUGCUACUCAAUUUUCAUCAUUGUAGAUAUGUUCUUAUUUUGUAAUAAACUUG
rnacentral:lncRNA from 1 species